AUUGAGACCUAAAUUAAAACCUCCUCAAUCAAGUCGAGAGUGAACCGACAUGAGCAAGUCAUAUUAGAUUAAUUGAUCUAAUUGGUGUCUAGGAAAGCAUGAAAGGUGGUUACUUAAUUAGGACCUUACUCUCUGAGUAAGGGGAGCCUCCCACCUGCUUACCUGGCCAAUUGUUCGAUUACCUCUUAUGAAAAGCUCAAGUUGCAAACACUAAGACAUGAUUAACCAAUAUUAAGUCAAUAGGUCUUCCACUGUAGUAGAGCUGCUAAGGUCUUUUUGAUGUUGAUUUGUCUCGGCUGGAUACAGUGGUCAAGUUGCAUCGGGGGGCUGGACCUCUCUAUAGACAUGAGAUGUUGUAGGGUAAAGGUG
rnacentral:lncRNA from 1 species